GACAGUGACGGUACUAAGGAAUAAGCAUCGGCUAACUACGUGCCAGCAGCCGCGGUAAUACGUAGGAUGCAAGCGUUAUCCGGAUUUACUGGGUGUAAAGGGAGCGCAGGCGGGACUGCAAGUUGGAUGUGAAAUACCGUGGCUUAACCACGGAACUGCAUCCAAAACUGUAGUUCUUGAGUGAAGUAGAGGCAAGCGGAAUUCCGAGUGUAGCGGUGAAAUGCGUAGAUAUUCGGAGGAACACCAGUGGCGAAGGCGGCUUGCUGGGCUUUAACUGACGCUGAGGCUCGAAAGUGUGGGGAGCAAACAGGAUUAGAUACCCUGGUAGUCCACACUGUAAACGAUGAUAGCUAGGUGUGGGGGGUCUGACCCCUUCCGUGCCGGAGUUAACGCAAUAAGCUAUCCACCUGGGGAGUACGACCGCAAGGUUGAAACUCAAAGGAAUUGACGGGGGCCCGCACAAGCAGUGGAUUAUGUGGUUUAAUUCGAAGCAACGCGAAGAACCUUACCCGGUCUUGACAUCCGACUAACGAGAUAGAGAUAUGUCAGGUGCCCUUCGGGGAAAGUCGAGACAGGUGGUGCAUGGUUGUCGUCAGCUCGUGUCGUGAGAUGUUGGGUUAAGUCCCGCAACGAGCGCAACCCCUGCCAUUAGUUGCUACGCAAGAGCACUCUAAUGGGACCGCUACCGACAAGGUGGAGGAAGGUGGGGACGACGUCAAAUCAUCAUGCCCCUUAUGACCUGGGCUACACACGUAAUACAAUGGCCGUUAACAGAGGGAAGCAAAGCGGUGACGCAGGGCAAAACCCUAAAAACGGUCCCAGUUCGGACUGUAGGCUGCAACCCGCCUACACGAAGUUGGAAUUGCUAGUAAUCGCGGAUCAGCAUGCCGCGGUGAAUACGUUCCCGGGCC
rnacentral:rRNA from 1 species